UGCCCUUUGUGUGUCUUCAUCUUCUCCCAUCACCAUCCCCGCAAAACCACCUCCUAGUAUUUUUUCUGACUACGUCCAUGCAAUAGUAGAAGUCUGACACUGGCUACAGACAACCGUGCAGGCCAGUCUGGUCUUCUCCCACCUUUUCCCUCCUCUCCUUUCUGUCUUCUGAUGCUGGGUGUGUCUAAUCACGUCAGAUCUCCUCUCAACUCUUUCGUCUCAGCUGUCCCAGGACAGGGCUCUUCUGGUGGCUCUCUGGGGUGAGGAGGAGGGAAAGCAGAAGGAAACAAAGCAUUUCCUACUGCUCUAACAGGCGAGCUCAACCUGAACAUAAAUGUGGAUAAUUUCAGAAAUGGAUGAGUUUUCUGGCUUGUCAGGAUGAUCCAGAAAAGGGGGGAAGAGAAGGAAAGUCUGAACAGCACAGCACAGAAAUAAAAUGGAAACACAACAUAAUUUGGACAACCAAAAGUGUUUAAUUCCACCUAAUGUGACAGUGAUUUCACGGCAAUGGGGAACAAGUCAUAUCUGACUCCUGCAAGCAGUGUGCUGAAGCCGGCUGACAACAUCCAGGAGUGAGCCAUGGUGAUGGUGUUCUGCAGGGACCAGCUCAAUCAGUGCACAGGAAUUAAUGCCACAUCAAGUUUUAGCACAAGUUUUCUUCUUGUCUUCUCUGAAAGUCGGGUGUUUGGUUUCGAGGAUGUUUUAUCCAGGCUUUGGUUCUGACACAGCAAGACGAAGUGGAAAUGUUGGUGCUGCCUCCAGAUUGAGUGUCUCUCCUGGGAUUUAGCAAGGUCUGCAAAUCCAAAUAUCACAGUCUGGGCUUGAGAAGGUAUUUGUCAGAGAAUCCUGUGUCUCAGGAAUGUGGGAGGAGGCAGAGAAAAGGCAAGAAAAGAC
rnacentral:lncRNA from 1 species